rnacentral:rRNA from 1 species
UACGUAGGGUGCAAGCGUUGUCCGGAAUUAUUGGGCGUAAAGAGCUCGUAGGCGGUCUGUCGCGUCUGGUGUGAAAAUCCAGGGCUUAACCCUGGACCUGCAUCGGGUACGGGCAGACUAGAGUGCGGUAGGGGAGAUCGGAAUUCCUGGUGUAGCGGUGAAAUGCGCAGAUAUCAGGAGGAACACCGGCGGCGAAGGCGGGUCUCUGGGCAAUAACUGACGCUGAGGAGCGAAAGCGUGGGGAGCGAACAGG